GAUGAACGCUGGCGGCGUGCUUAACACAUGCAAGUCGAACGAAAAGUCUCUACGUUAGCCUUCUGCCCGAGUCGCUCACGUGUAAGUACCACGUGAGUAGUCUCCCCUGGAUAUUGUGCUACCUUCAGGAAGCUGACACUUAUACACGAUUGUUGAUCCUGCUUCAUACCAGGGCAUCGCAUGUUUCGGUGGUUAGGGAUGGACUCGCGUCGGAUCAGCUUGUUGGUGGGGUAGUGGCUUACCAAGGCUUUGACGGGUAGCCGGCCUGAGAGGGUGACCGGCCACAUUGGGACUGGGAUAAGGCCCAGACUCCUACGGGAGGCAGCAGUGGGGAAUAUUGCACAAUGGGCGGAAGCCUGAUGCAGCAACGCCGCGUGCGGGAUGACGGCCUUCGGGUUGUAAACCGCUUUCGCCUGUGACGAAGCGUGAGUGACGGUAAUGGGUAAAGAAGCACCGGCUAACUACGUG
rnacentral:rRNA from 1 species